rnacentral:rRNA from 1 species
AUUGAACGCUGGCGGCAGGCCUAACACAUGCAAGUCGAGCGGAUGAAGGGAGCUUGCUCCUGGAUUCAGCGGCGGACGGGUGAGUAAUGCCUAGGAAUCUGCCUGGUAGUGGGGGAUAACGUCCGGAAACGGGCGCUAAUACCGCAUACGUCCUGAGGGAGAAAGUGGGGGAUCUUCGGACCUCACGCUAUCAGAUGAGCCUAGGUCGGAUUAGCUAGUUGGUGGGGAAAAGGCCUACCAAGGCGACGAUCCGUAACUGGUCUGAGAGGAUGAUCAGUCACACUGGAACUGAGACACGGUCCAGACUCCUACGGGAGGCAGCAGUGGGGAAUAUUGGACAAUGGGCGAAAGCCUGAUCCAGCCAUGCCGCGUGUGUGAAGAAGGUCUUCGGAUUGUAAAGCACUUUUAGUUGGGAGGAAGGGCAGUAAGUUAAUACCUUGCUGUUUUGACGUUACCAACAGAAUAAGCACCGGCUAACUUCGUG